rnacentral:rRNA from 1 species
CACGCCGUAAACGAUGAAUACUAGGUGUAGGAGGUAUCAACUCCUUCUGUGCCGCAGUUAACACAAUAAGUAUUCCGCCUGGGAAGUACGAUCGCAAGAUUAAAACUCAAAGGAAUUGACGGGGGCCCGCACAAGCAGCGGAGCAUGUGGUUUAAUUCGAAGCAACGCGAAGAACCUUACCUAGACUUGACAUCCCCUGAAUUACUCGUAAUUGAGGAAGUCCCUUCGGGGACAGGGAGACAGGUGG